rnacentral:rRNA from 1 species
CCCUUAGAUGUCCGGGGCUGCACGCGCGCUACACUGAAGGAAUCAGCGUGCUAAAGCCAUUGUCGAAAGGCAUUGGUAAACCCAUUAAAAUCCUACGUGAUUGGGAUCGGGAAUUGCAAUUAUUUCCCUUGAACGAGGAAUUCCCAGUAAGUGUGGGUCAUAAGCUCGCGUUGAUUACGUCCCUGCCCUUUGUACACACCGCCCGUCGCUGCCCGGGACUGAGCCGUUUCGAGAAAAGCGGGGACUGCUGCUGUCGGGGCUUUCGGGCCUUGGCUUCGGUGGAAACCGCUUUAAUCGCAGUGGCUUGAACCGGGCAAAAGUCGUAACA